rnacentral:rRNA from 1 species
CUCCUGGAAACGGGUGGUAAUGCCGGAUGCUCCGCCCCCUCGCAUGGGGGGUCGGGAAGGCUUUUGCGGAAUGGGAUGGGGUCGCGUCCUAUCAGCUUGUUGGCGGGGCGACGGCCCACCAAGGCUUCGACGGGUAGCCGGCCUGAGAGGGCGACCGGCCACAUUGGGACUGAGAUACGGCCCAGACUCCUACGGGAGGCAGCAGUGGGGAAUAUUGCACAAUGGGGGGAACCCUGAUGCAGCGACGCCGCGUGCGGGAUGGAGGCCUUCGGGUCGUGAACCGCUUUUGAUUGGGGGCAAGCGUGAGUGAGUGUACCUUUCGAAUAAGCACCGGCUAACUACGUGCCAGCAGCCGCGGUAAUACGUAGGGUGCAAGCGUUGUCCGGAAUCAUUGGGCGUAAAGGGCUCGUAGGCGGUUCGUCGCGUCCGGUGUGAAAGCCCAUCGCUUAACGGUGGGUCUGCGCCGGGUACGGGCGGGCUUGAGUGCGGCAGGGGAGGCUGGAAUUCCCGGUGUAACGGUGGAAUGUGUAGAUAUCGGGAAGAACACC